rnacentral:rRNA from 1 species
UACGUAGGGCGCGAGCGUUGUCCGGAAUCAUUGGGCGUAAAGAGCUCGUAGGCGGCCUGUCGCGUCUGCUGUGAAAUCCCGGGGCUUAACCCCGGGCGUGCAGUGGAUACGGGCUGGCUGGAGGCAGGCAGGGGAGAACGGAAUUCCCGGUGUAGCGGUGAAAUGCGUAGAUAUCGUGAGGAAGGCCAGUGGCGAAGGCGGCUCUCUGGACAGGACCUGACGCUGAGGCACGAAGGCUAGGGGAGCAAACGGG